GUGCCAGCCGCUGCGGUAAUACGGAGGGAGCUAGCGUUGUUCGGAAUUACUGGGCGUAAAGCGCGCGUAGGCGGCUAUUCAAGUCGGGGGUGAAAGCCCGGGGCUCAACCCCGGAACUGCCCUCGAAACUAGAUGGCUAGAAUCUUGGAGAGGUCAGUGGAAUUCCGAGUGUAGAGGUGAAAUUCGUAGAUAUUCGGAAGAACACCAGUGGCGAAGGCGACUGACUGGACAAGUAUUGACGCUGAGGUGCGAAAGCGUGGGAGCAAACAGGAUUAGAUACCCUGGUAGUCCACGCCGUAAACGAUGAUAACUAGCUGU
rnacentral:rRNA from 1 species